AGAGAAUAGAUACCCGGGUAGUCCACGCCCUAAACGAUGCAUAUCUGGUGUGGGCAGUUCAUUCUGUCCGUGCCGGAGCUAACGCGUUAAAUAUGCCGCCUGGGGAGUACAGUCGCAAGGCUGAAACUCAAAGGAAUUGACGGGGGCCCGGCACAAGCGGUGGAGCAUGUGGUUCAAUUCGACGCAACGCGAAGAACCUUACCUGGGCUCGAACGGCUGAUCAACGGAGGUGGAAACAUCUUUACCCCGCAAGGGGUUCAGUCGAGGUGCUGCAUGGCUGUCGUCAGCUCGUGUCGUGAGAUGUUGGGUUUAAGUCCCGCAACGAGCGCAACCCUUGUCCUGUGUUGCCAUGUCGAAAGACGGAACUCGCAGGAGACCGCCAGGGAUAACCUGGAGGAAGGUGGGGAUGACGUCAAGUCCUCAUGGCCUUUAUGUCCAGGGCUACACACGUGCUACAAUGGACGGUACAAAGCGCAGCGAACUCGCGAGAGGGGAGCC
rnacentral:rRNA from 1 species